rnacentral:snRNA from 1 species
GUGCUCACUUCAGCAGCACAUAAAACUAAAAUUGGAAUGAUACAGAGAAGAUUAGCAUGGCUCCUGUGCAAGGAUGACACACAAAUUCAUGAAGCGUUCCAUAUUUUU